rnacentral:rRNA from 1 species
AGAGUUUGAUCCUGGCUCAGGACGAACGCUGGCGGCGCGCCUAACACAUGCAAGUCGAACGGAGAUUACAGGCGGAAGUUUUCGGAUGGAAGCUUGUAAACUUAGUGGCGGACGGGUGAGUAACACGUGAGCAACCUGCCUAUCAGAGGGGGAUAACGAUUGGAAACGAUCGCUAAUACCGCAUGACAUAGCGGAAUCGCAUGGUUCUGUUAUCAAAGAUUUUAUCGCUGAUAGAUGGGCUCGCGUCCGAUUAGAUAGUUGGUGGGGUAACGGCCUACCAAGUCGACGAUCGGUAGCCGGACUGAGAGGUCGGGCGGCCACAUUGGGACUGAGACACGGCCCAGACUCCUACGGGAGGCAGCAGUGGGGGAUAUUGCACAAUGGGGGAAACCCUGAUGCAGCGACGCCGCGUGAGGGAAGACGGUCCUCUGGAUUGUAAACCUCUGUCUUCGGGGACGAAACGAGACGGUACCCGAGGAGGAAGCCACGGCUAACUACGUGCCAGCAGCCGCGGUAAAACGUAGGUCACAAGCGUUGUCCGGAAUUACUGGGUGUAAAGGGAGCGCAGGCGGGAAGACAAGUUGGAAGUGAAAUCUAUGGGCUCAACCCAUAAACUGCUUUCAAAACUGUUUUUCUUGAGUAGUGCAGAGGUAGGCGGAAUUCCCGGUGUAGCGGUGGAAUGCGUAGAUAUCGGGAGGAACACCAGUGGCGAAGGCGGCCUACUGGGCACCAACUGACGCUGAGGCUCGAAAGUGUGGGUAGCAAACAGGAUUAGAUACCCUGGUAGUCCACACCGUAAACGAUGAUUACUAGGUGUUGGAGGAUUGACCCCUUCAGUGCCGCAGUUAACACAAUAAGUAAUCCACCUGGGGAGUACGACCGCAAGGUUGAAACUCAAAGGAAUUGACGGGGGCCCGCACAAGCAGUGGAGUAUGUGGUUUAAUUCGACGCAACGCGAAGAACCUUACCAAGUCUUGACAUCCCUUGACGAUGCUGGAAACAGUGUUUCUCUUCGGAGCAAGGAGACAGGUGGUGCAUGGUUGUCGUCAGCUCGUGUCGUGAGAUGUUGGGUUAAGUCCCGCAACGAGCGCAACCCUUAUGGUCAGUUACUACGCAAGAGGACUCUGGCCAGACUGCCGUUGACAAAACGGAGGAAGGUGGGGAUGACGUCAAAUCAUCAUGCCCUUUAUGACUUGGGCUACACACGUACUACAAUGGCGUUAAACAAAGAGAAGCAAGACCGCGAGGUGGAGCAAAACUCAGAAACAACGUCCCAGUUCGGACUGCAGGCUGCAACUCGCCUGCACGAAGUUGGAAUUGCUAGUAAUCGUGGAUCAGCAUGCCACGGUGAAUACGUUCCCGGGCCUUGUACACACCGCCCGUCACACCAUGAGAGCCGGGGGGACCCGAAGUCGGUAGUCUAACCGCAAGGAGGACGCCGCCGAAGGUAAAACUGGUGAUUGGGGUGAAGUCGUAACAAGGU